GUAGCUCAGGGAUAGAGUGCUUGCCUAGUGGUUGUGAGGCCCUGGAUUCAAUCCUUGGCAAAGGAAAAAAAAAAAGUUCUUCAGUCUCUUCUGAAGUUGAACUUCAUAUCAAGUAUCUACUACAGACAAGCAAGUUGUACCUGAGUGGCUUUUUUAUUUAUUGUCAAGUCAUAUGUGGAAGGAGGGUUUGGGCUGGGAAUCUCAUUACUCAUUCCCUUCUUUUUUGGUUGACAAGACAGCAACUGUGAGGACUUUGCAUUACCUGGUUCCUUUUGUGUUAAACAGCUCUGAGCAGAGCGUGGGGAGGAGCCCGGGUGAAGGCCUCUCUUCCGUUCUGGCCGCUGAAUCCCUGCUGGCCCCUCUGUGGACACCUACACUACACAUUUUGUCCUACAAAUAUUUGCUCAUCUUGAUUGUCUCAGGAACCAAGCCCAUGGGUAUCCUUUGAGUUUAAAACCAUAUUAUCUAUAAAACACUUGCAAGUCUACAGUCAUCAAAAGGCAUUUGGAGAAACAUUUUCAAGAACUGAAGUUGCAUAAAGCACUGGAGAAUAAAAGGUUCCCAGGGCCUCUGGCAUUCCUCCAGGAAAGGACAACUACACCACAGAGGAACUGGACUUUUGCCCAGUGGCCUUUGGAGUGACCUGAACUUUAUAUACUUUUUUUUUUUUUAAAUAGAAGUCCUGUGUAAUGACCUGGCAGCAGGGGAAUUUUCCAAGUCCACUCUGUGGAAGUCAACUGAUACUCAGAUUCCUGUCAGUGUUCAUACACUCCACACCCCAGUGAGUCUGAUUGAGUCUGAUACUAGAGGAUCUCCCUGACUUGGGCUUCCCUUUGCCCCUGGAAGAAAUAUUCCAACCCUUAGCAACAGGCCCUGGACUUAGAGAGACAAAAUUUAUUUUAGUUCUGUUAAGUUGAACACAAGUUAUCUGUGUGCCAAAAGUUGUGUUUAUCCACUCAAAGUUUAAGAAAAC
rnacentral:lncRNA from 1 species